AUGUCAAUUUUGAGUGUCAUUUAGUCAACUGUUUUGAGGGCGCAGUUCUUUUAUCAGUUGACAGAUGGCGCCAGAUAUCACCAUAUGAGAAAAUUGCAACGUGAUCCACAACUCGUUUUGGAAAGAAAUUGAUGACGUGCAUGCCAUGAGCAGCCAGUGAUGCAA